GAGCAUUGGCCUCUUGAAGAGCAUGCCAAACUUGGUAGGAAGUUUCAAGCCCUAUGACUAAGCCGAAUGAUUCCUCGGACAGUGUACCGAUGAUCCCACCCUGAAGCAAUCGAUCCUUCUUCCGCCAUUGUAGAAACAUCCCGAUUUAAGCGACGAGCUUGAAGUGUUCAUAAAAUCCUAGAUUGAUUAAGGGAAUGAAGUCUAUCGACCACCCAAGCUUUUCUUCUUUAUCAUGUUUUUGUGAUCAGGGAACCUUCGGUUGCAUAAUCAUGGGAGAAUAUUUGACAUGGAAGUCCUGCAUGACGAGAAAACAAGAUUAGAUCCAGCAGGAGUCCUCUUUUAAGGUUGAGUUCUUUUGAGCAUUGGCUUGGCAUUGUUUCUUUUGGGAAUAGAAGAUCUUGACCAUUUUAUUUACGAGUUAGGAGUCGGGUCUCAUGUAGUGUCAGCUUUCCAAUUGGUUUGUUGCCUCAUUUAAGCACCGCGACUUAUCAAUUCAAGAGAGAUCAAUAUUAUUAUUAUUACAAAAAUUUUAUUAUCA